CGGAAGGCCAGCCCCAGGGGGUAUGCUGUCGCGCAGCGAAGCACCCAGGCUGAUUUGCCUUGGGCCGGCAGGUNUAGGUCGCAUGCAUCCGGAAGGCCAGCCCCAGCGGGUAUGCUGUCGCGCAGCGAAGCACCCAGGCUGAUUUGCCUUGGGCCGGCAGGUUUAGGUCGCAUGCAUCCGGAAGGCCAGCCCCAGGGGGUAUGCUCUCGCGCGGCGAAGCACCCAGGCUGAUUUGCCUUGGGCCGGCAGGUUUAGUCGCAUGCAUCCGGAAGGCCAGCCCCAGGGGGUAUGCUGUCGCGCAACGAAGCACCCAGGCUGAUUUGCCUUGGGCCGGCAGGUUUAGGUCGCAUGCAUCCGGAAGGCCAGCCCCAGGGGGUAUGCUGUCGCGCGGCGAAGCACCCAGGCUGAUUUGCCUUGGGCCGGCAGGUUUAGGUCGCAUGCAUCCGGAAGGCCAGCCCCAGCGGGUAUGCUGUCGCGCAGCGAAGCACCCAGGCUGAUUUGCCUUGGGCCGGCAGGUUUAGUCGCAUGCAUCCGGAAGGCCAGCCCCAGCGGGUAUGCUGUCGCGCAGCGAAGCACCCAGGCUGAUUUGCCUUGGGCCGGCAG
rnacentral:lncRNA from 1 species